rnacentral:SRP_RNA from 1 species
GCUGGGUAUGGUGUUCUGUAGUCCCAGCUACUUGGGAGGCUGAGUCAGGAGGAUCACUUGAGCCCAGGAAUUCUGGGUUAUCGUCAACUAUGUGAUCAGGCGUCUGCACUAAGUUUGGCAUCAAUAUGGUGACAUUUUGGGAGCAGGGGACCACCAGGUUUGAGGAGGGGUUUCCAGGUUGGAAAUGGGGCAGCUCGACACUCCCUAGCUGAUCAGUAGUGAGACUGCUCCUGUGAGUAGCCACUGCACUCUGGCCUAGGCAACAGCGAGACCGCACUUA